rnacentral:rRNA from 1 species
CAUGCCGCGUGCAGGAUGACGGUCCUAUGGAUUGUAAACUGCUUUUAUACGAGAAGAAACACUCCGACGUGUCGGAGCUUGACGGUAUCGUAAGAAUAAGGAUCGGCUAACUCCGUGCCAGCAGCCGCGGUAAUACGGAGGAUCCAAGCGUUAUCCGGAAUCAUUGGGUUUAAAGGGUCCGUAGGCGGUUUAAUAAGUCAGUGGUGAAAGCCCAUCGCUCAACGGUGGAACGGCCAUUGAUACUGUUAAACUUGAAUUAUUAGGAAGUAACUAGAAUAUGUAGUGUAGCGGUGAAAUGCUUAGAGAUUACAUGGAAUACCAAUUGCGAAGGCAGGUUACUACUAAUGGAUUGACGCUGAUGGACGAAAGCGUGGGUAGCGAACAGGAUUAGAUACCCUGGUAGUCCACGCCGUAAACGAUGGAUACUAGCUGUUGGGAGCAAUCUCAGUGGCUAAGCGAAAGUGAUAAGUAUCCCACCUGGGGAGUACGUUCGCAAGAAUGAAACUCAAAGGAAUUGACGG